GACGAACGCUGGCGGCGUGCCUAAUACAUGCAAGUCGAGCGAACAGACGCGGCUCUUGCUCCUCUGUUGUUAGCGGCGGACGGGUGAGUAACACGUGUAUAACCCCCCUAUAAGACUGGGAUAACUUCGGGAAACCGGAGCUAAUACCGGAUAACAUGUUGAACCGCAUGGUUCAACAGUGAAAGACGGUCUUGCUGUCACUUAUAGAUGGAUCCGCGCCGCAUUAGCUAGUUGGUAAGGUAACGGCUUACCAAGGGGACGAUGCGUAGCCGACGUGUGAGAGUGGUCGCCCGCACUAGAGGUGAGACACGGUCCAGAGGCCUACGGGAGGGAGCAGAGGGGAAUCUUCCGCAAUGGGCGAGAACCUGACAGAGCGAGGCGGCGUGAGAGGAGAAGAUGUUCGGAUCGUGAGACUCUGUUAUUAGGGAAAAACAGAUGUGUAAGUAGCUGUGGACGUCGUGACGGUACCUGAUAAGGAAGCCACGGCUAACUACGUG
rnacentral:rRNA from 1 species